rnacentral:rRNA from 1 species
GACGAACGCUGGCGGCGUGCUUAACACAUGCAAGUCGAACGGAAAGGCCCUGCUUGUGUGGGGUGCUCGAGUGGCGAACGGGUGAGUAACACGUGAGUAACCUGCCCUUGACUUUGGGAUAACUUUAGGAAACUGGGGCUAAUACCGGAUAGGAGCUCCUGCUGCAUGGUGGGGGUUGGAAAGUUUCGGCGGUUGGGGAUGGACGCGCGGCUUAUCAGCUUGUUGGUGGGGUAGUGGCUUACCAAGGCUUUGACGGGUAGCCGGCCUGAGAGGGUGACCGGCCACAUUGGGACUGCGAUACGGCCCAGACUCCUACGGGAGGCAGCAGUGGGGAAUAUUGCACAAUGGGCGGAAGCCUGAUGCAGCAACGCCGCGUGCGGGAUGACGGCCUUCGGGUUGUAAACCGCUUUCGCCUGUGACGAAGCGUGAGUGACGGUAAUGGGUAAAGAAGCACCGGCUAACUACGUG